GCCAGAAUGGUGGAACUGGCAGACACUCUACGUUCAGAGCGUAGUCUUCUUAUUGAAGGUGGGGGUUCGACUCCCCCUUCUGGCA
rnacentral:tRNA from 1 species